AGCCAGCCUAUGUGCGCCUGUUGGAGGCACACUCUUGCGGCCAAUCCAGACGCGAGGAACAGGCGGUGCUAGAAUGCCUCCGUGGUGCCUCCAAAACGACCGAAAUGUGGAGGGAGUGCAGUCUGAUGCACCACGUCGGCAUCGAUGCUGUGCUUCCUCCUGGCGUCUGCCCUGGCUCUCUACCAUCCAGAGGCACUCGCCAAGAUGCGCUUUACUCCACAUAUCCGCGGACGUGGAUGUAUUCCUCGCCCAACGCCCUCACUUUUGCGGAUGUUUUCGAUGCAUCGCCACAUGCCAUCUACUUGCGCCCCCCCAUCUCCAUCCUGCCCUGUCGCGCGCUGCAGCUUGCAACUGGCCGCUCCCUCCGCAUGAUCAUCUGCGGCAACCCUACCAGGGCUUCCUCAGAUUCUCCCACUGGCACUUGCAUAUAAACUCAGGCGCUCCGCCUCCAGUUGUCAGAAGCGCAACAUUCAUCAACCUUCCAGCAGGUGGAGAACUAAUCAGAUCGACAACCAUUCAUACUUCGCAGUUCAGUGGCCUGCCUCUGCUGUAUCUCGCAUUAUCUUCAGUCUUCGCGCGAUUUCGGAAGCCGAUUGAUUACAUCUCGUAUUUGCCAGUAGAACAGGACAAUGGCCGCCACGAUGUCUCAGAUGUCUGCUGCUGCUCCCAUGGCCGGCGGUCUCAUGGCCCUGACUCCAUCCUCCACGAAGCUGUCCAGCGCUGCUUCCCGUGUGGUGGCCCGACCCAGACUGGGCGCGUCGCUGGCGGGGCGAGUUCGAUGCGAGGCGGGCAAGGGCCUGCGGGAGACCAUCGAUGAGAGCACGAAGAAGGAAAUCACGGAGGGCGAGAUCCUGAAGAACAUGGAGACCAACGAGUCCGAGCAGCGUUCCUACUUCGGCGCCAAGCCCACUCCCGGGUUCGACCAGGCAGUGGGGUUCACCCCCCGCCCGGAGAUCGAGAGGCGGCCCGAGACCAGCGACAAGUCCUUCUUCAGCGUGUUCGCGUUCGACGGGGCCGCCCCGGAGACCAUCAACUGCCGACUGGCGAUGUUGGGCAUGGUGUGGGCGUUCUUCGCGGAGAAGGCGACGGGGCUGACAGUAGCACAGCAGCUAUUCAACCCCACCACAAGCGGGCUUGUGUAUUUCGUGGGCGCGGUGCAGUUAUUCACGUACGCAUCGCUGGUGCCGAUCAUGAACGGCGAGUCGACGGAUGCUCGCAGCUUCGGGCCGUUCACGGCGCGAGCUGAGCGAUGGAACGGGCGUCUAGCAAUGCUAGGAUUCCUGUCGCUAGUGGUCACGGAGCUGAUCCGCGGAGCUCCCGUGUUCCACUAAAUGGAUGCACAUAUGUCGGUAGGCGUGGAGAGAACAAAGGCAGUGAAUUGCAUCGCCGUGGGGUGGCUGCGUGUGUAUGAUACGGUGCCGAAGUUGUGGAAUUGAGUGUACAGUUUGGAGCUAGGAUGAGAGAGAGAGAGCUCAGGGAUAGGUAUGUGGGAGGCGAGGAGGAUCGGUUUUGAAGGACCAUGGAAGGAUGUACAGUGUAUUGUUGAGAUGACGACGAGUGUGAGUAAUUGGAGAUGAUGAUUUUGAGAAACAUGGUUUGUGUGAAGUGCGGAUGUGCAUGCAGUGGUGGUGUCAGUGCGGCGAUCGUCGUGUGAAUGGGGUUUCAGCUUUGCUUCAUGAAUGGUUGGAUUUCAGGGCCUCGGAGGGGACGGCCAUCGUGCGGCGUGAGGGUGCGCGGAUGUUUGAAAGACAAUGCAGUGAAUGGGAAACGGAGUUGAGUCGAAUUGAGUUGUGUCUUAGCAGCGUGGUGGGUGUGUGAAAUGAAAUGUGUAGUGAUGUGAGUUUAAUAGUGUGUUUUGAUUUGCUGCAUUGAGAGUGUUUGAAUAGUAGACGUAUUCUUUUUUGCAGUUGAGUGUUGUAUGAAUUUUGUUUUUUAUUUUAUUUUUUAUAUAUUAAUACUAAUAUGAAUAAAUAUUUGUGUAUGUAUUUGGUUAAAAACUUCAUAUGCCAUUUUAAAUCUCCAACUAAAGCUUCUAUAAUUGUGAAGAAAAAAGACGGAUAUUUAUUUGUGAAGAAAAAAGAUGGAUAUCUAUGGAUGUAUGUGGACUAUUGAAGAUUCAAUAAGAUCACCAUCAAAAAUAGGUAUCUUCUACCUUUAAUUUCAAGACUUCAUGAUCAAUCCAAUGAAGAAAAUAUUUACAAAAAUAGAUCUAUGAAGAGCAUAAAACCUAAUGUCACGGACAUACAUAUAAUUACCUAUAUGAAUAGAUAAAAGUAUGUAAAAGUAGAUAAAAGUAGGUUAAUUGUGUAAUAUCUUCUAGACAAGCUUCUUAGAAGCUUCAUAGACGCUGCUUUGACUUUAUAGGAGUCUAUAGUUGACUUUUAGGUUAGAAACUUGGUCAACAAGUUAGCCAUGUGCCACACAUGUUGGAAGCUUAAAGAACAAGCUAACUACGUGGUCCAUCCAUAGAAAACUUGCCUUGCAAGCAAAGGCAUGUGGCCUAGAAAGUCAACAUAUAUUGGAGGUCUUAUAGAACAUCGCCACGUGGCUUCUAGUUAGAUAGUAUAUAUAGAGGCAAGAGUGAAGCCCUCUUCACUCUUGUCAACUCCUUUCUUGCUUCUAGUCUAGUUUCAAGGGUCUCUAGUUUUCUUGUAUUUUGGCAAUAGCCAUUCCAGUUUCUUUCUUAAUAUACAUAUUUCUAUUUUGCCCUAUUUCUUUUUGAGAAAAGUCUCACUUACUCUUUAGCUUUCAUCGAGUUCUUGUCCUUGACAGAUUGACAAGAGUACACUUACAAUAUCAGAGCUUUGUCUUUUCUUGAUUAAGAGUGGAUUACCCCUUUUUCUUGAUAAGACAUAAGCGCAUUAGAAGUUGCGGAUUACCCUCUUUUAAACUGAUAUUGUUCUUAGUAUUUUCUUUGUUAUCAAUUCCUCUCUUCUAUUUGUUUUGAGCGUUAUUAGACAUCUUCUCUUUUCUAAGUGCUACUAUGGCAGAGCUUGUUGAAAUGAAGAGUGCAAUGGCACAGAUGCAAGAACAAUUGAGGGAGUUAAUGCUUGCGAUGCAUCAACUCAAUUUACCACCACAAGGAGCAACAAGAAUGGUAGGAAGUGAAGAUAUAGAGAUGAUUGGGGCUGCUUCAACAUCUGCACCAAACCAUGUCCCUUCUCCCAGAAUGGAACACCCUUCGAGUGUUAGAGAACCGAGAGUUGCCUUGCCCGAGAAGUUUGAUGGUACCAGAUUCAAGUUUCGAGGAUUCAUCAAUCAGGUCCAACUAGUGAUUGAACUUCAACCCCAAAGCUAUCCAACUCCAGGGUCACAAGUUAGAUUCAUUGGUACACUUCUUUCAGGUUCAGCAUUGUCAUGGUUUUCAUCUUUUCUUGAACGACGAGAUCCAAUAUUGGAUAAUCUGGAGGCUUUUUUGGCGGAGUUUCGAUCCAUGUUUGGAGAACAUGAUGCAAUUCGUGUUGCAACCAACAAGAUCCGUAUUUUGCGACAAGGCAAUCGAUCAGUAACAUUAUAUGCUUCGCAAUUUCGACAACUUGCAACUGAUAUCAAGUGGGAUGAUGCCGCACUUGUGAGUCAAUUUCUCUACGGAUUACAAUAUGAGGUAAAGAAAUUGAUGCUUAAUUUACCUGAUCCUCAAACAUUGAGUCAAGCAAUUGACUUUGCUGUGAAGUGCGACAAUCGACUUUUUGAAUUUCGAUCCGAGAGUUGCACAAGUGGGCCUCAACGUUACUACAAUUCAAUGGCAACACCGACGUCUCCUCAACACAUACCUUCAGAAGUAGAGGAUAUGCAAAUUGAUGCGGUACGUUUCAAACCUCUUACUGAGCAAGAAAAGUCUCGUCGUCGACAAGAAGGAUUGUGCUUAUAUUGUGGAGAACCUAAGCACACUGCUCAACAUUGUCCAAAGAAGCGACGUAACUACAAAAUGAGGAGUACGGCUGUCAAAGAAGACAGUAUGUCAGAAAACGAAUACGUCCAGCUAUAAUAGGGACCGUGCGGCUGGAAUCUUGUACAACUUCUAAUGAAGGUCCUAUCCUCUCCUCAGAACCAUCUCCUUGUUUUAUAAUAGAUGUGCGUUUAGGACCUAAUAAUUACAAAGCCUCUGCCUUGGUAGAUUCAGGAGCCUCAUCUUGUUUUUUAGAUGAAGAAUUUGCUAGAUGUCAUAGAAUAUCAUUAAUACAAAAAACUAAACCUGUACACGUAGAAGUCAUAGAUGGUCGUCCGUUGUCUUCUGCCGAUGUAACUCACGAAACACUUCCUGUAGAUGUAGUAAUAAAUGGUCAUAGUAGUUGCGUAAUUUUUAAUAUAAUUAGAUCUCCCUCUAAUCCAGUAAUUUUAGGCUUAUCAUGGUUAGAAAAGUAUAAUCCUCGAAUAGAUUGGAUUUCUCGUAAACUUGAUUUUCCUCAGAGCAUUAGUAACAGUUCUAUUAAUCAAGUAAAAAACCAUGAGUCUAGUAUAGUAAAACUCGCACUUAUAGGUGCAAAAGCAUUUAUACACGCAGCAAAAGAAGGAUCAACUUUUGCUAUUUAUGCUGCACCUAUUUCUGAAAGCAUAAAGACUUCAAGUGGCAUUCCAAGUCAAUAUCAGGAUUAUCAAGACGUUUUUGAGAAAAAGAAUGCAGAUAUUCUUCCUAAGCAUCGCCCAUACGAUUGUUCAAUCGAUCUGAAGGAAGGAACUCAGCCACCAUUUGGACCAAUUUACAGUUUAUCGCAAGAUGAGAUGGCUGAACUCAAGACAUAUAUUGACGAGAAUUUAGCGAAGAAUUUCAUACGCCAUUCAAAAUCUCCAGCAGGAGCUCCAAUUUUAUUCGUAAAGAAAAAAGAUGGAUCUUUACGAAUGUGUGUUGACUAUCGAGGACUCAACAAGAUCACAAUCAAGAACAGGUAUCCAUUACCUUUGAUAUCAGGACUCCUUGACCAGUUAAAUCAAGCUAAGAUCUAUACAAAAAUAGAUCUAAGAGGAGCAUAUAAUCUAGUACGGAUCAAAGAAGGAGAUGAAUGGAAGACUGCGUUUCGAACCAGGUACGGGCAUUUUGAAUAUAAUGUCAUGCCUUUUGGACUCACGAAUGCACCAGCUGCUUUUCAACAUCUCAUGAAUGAUGUAUUUCGUGAAUUAUUAGACAAUUUUGUCGUCUGCUACCUAGACGAUAUCCUGAUUUAUUCUAAGAAUGUUGAAGAACAUGAAAUACAUGUUCGUCAAGUAUUACAAAAACUCAGAGAUGCAGGAUUGUACGCCAAGAUGGAAAAGUGUGUAUUUCACACUACUCAAGUUGACUUUUUAGGAUACAUCAUUUCAAAUGAUGGUCUUAUGAUGGAUUCUAAGAAAGUUCAAACAAUCAUGGAUUGGAAGAUUCCAAAGACUGUAAGAGAUGUCCAAUGUUUCUUGGGAUUUGCCAAUUACUAUCGGAUCUUCAUCAAAGAUUUUUCACGAGUUGCAGCUCCACUUACACGCUUGACUAGUAAAGAUAAAUUCCAAUGGAAUCAAGAAGCGGAAGCAGCAUUUGAAGCCUUGAAGACAUCGUUUGUCUCUGCACCAGUCUUAUAUCGUGUUGACUUUUCCAAGGUAUUUUUUAUGGAAACAGACGCAUCGGAUUUUGCCUUGGGUGCAGUUUUAUCACAAAUGGGAACAGAUGACAAACUUCAUCCGAUAGCUUUUCAUUCAAGAAAAUUCUCAACAGCCGAGAUCAAUUAUGAGAUCCACGAUAAAGAACUUCUUGCAAUCGUGGAUUCCUUUCAAGAAUGGCGUCAUUAUCUAGAAGGCGCUUCUAGUCCAGUCACUGUGUAUACAGAUCACAAGAACCUCGAGUAUUUCAUGUCAGCACGCGUGUUGAAUCGUCGUCAAGCUCGUUGGAGUAUGUCUUUGUCAAGAUUCGACUUCAUUAUCACUUAUCGGCCAGGAAAACAACAAGGUUUGUCCGAUGCCCUGUCUAGACGUUCUUAUUUUGCACCAAAAGAAGGAGAUGCAGCUUUUGAGCAACAAAGAAUGGUCCUCUUGAAACCGGAGCAAUUUCAUCUCCGAGCAGUGAAAUCAACAUUGACUGUUGAUUCAACUUUUCUCAAGCAAAUCCAGUCCAGUAUGUCCUCAGACCCUCUUGUUCAUGAUAUCGAGAAUAAUUCUUCCAAGUCUCAUGAUUCUUCUAAGUUCGAGUUCAAGAAUAAUCUAUUAUAUUUUGAUGGACGCCUAUAUGUUCCAGAAGGAAAAGCACGUUUGCGUGUUCUUCAAGCACAUCAUGACUUUCCAGCAGCAGGGCACUUUGGAUAUAAUAAGACUCUGGAACUCAUAUCAAGAGAUUUUUGGUGGCCACAAAUGUGGAAGUCAGUCAAAGACUUUGUACAAUCAUGUGAUAUUUGUUCAAGAUCAAAAAUUCCUCGACAUCGACCUUACGGACUUCUUCAGCCAUUACCUAUACCAGAACAACCAUGGUCUUCUGUUUCUAUGGAUUUCAUCACAGAUCUUCCAAACUCAAGAUCUUAUGAUUCUAUAUUUGUGAUAGUAGAUCGUUUCACCAAGAUGGCACAUUUUAUGCCAUGUACAAAAUCUAUCACAGGUGAAGAAACAGCUAAGCUUUUCAUUGAUAAUAUCUAUCGCUAUCAUGGAUUACCUAAAGAUAUCAUAUCGGAUAGGGGAACUCAAUUUGUGUCGAGAUUCUGGAAGACUCUUUUCAAGAUUUUAAAAGUGGACAUAAAGCUAUCUUCGGCUUUCCAUCCUCAAAUUGAUGGACAAACAGAGCGCGUAAACCAAGUCUUGGAACAGUAUUUAAGGUGUACCAUCAACUACCAACAAGAUGAUUGGACAAACCUUCUGCCAUUGGUAGAGUUUGCUUAUAAUAAUACGGUACAUUCUUCCACGCAACAAACACCUUUCUUUGCCAAUUAUGGCUAUCAUCCACGACUUGAUACUUUUGAUUUUUCAAAAGUUGAUAAUCCUGCAGCAGAAGAUAUGGCAAAUCGGUUGUCAGAGUUACAUGCAAUAAUGAAGGCGCAGUUGAAGAAAGCUCAAGAACGACAAAAGAUAAAUGCAGAUGUAUAUCGUAAAGAGCAACCACAACUCAACGUGGGUGAUAAGGUAUGGCUACUUCGUUGCAAUAUCAAGACCACUCGACCUUGUGACAAAUUGGACUAUCGUAGGCUUGGCCCCUUUUCUGUUUCUGAACAGAUCAACCCAGUUGCAUAUCGGUUACAUCUACCGGAGUCAAUGAAGAUCCAUCCUGUAUUCCACGUGUCUCUUCUUGAACCAUAUAAGAUAGUGGAUAUACAAGGAAGAAGACAAAUGCCACCGCCUCCUAUAGAAGUAGAUAAUAAUGAAGAAUUUGAGGUGGAAGAGAUAUUAGACUCAAGGCGGCACCGAAAUAAGCUGGAAUAUCUUGUUCAUUGGUGCGGAUAUGAUAUUAGUGAGCGCACAUGGGAGCCAUCCAGGAAUCUAGCAAAUGCAUCAGCUAAAGUCAAAGUUUUUCAUCAACGACAUCCAUCAAAACCAAGAUGAAAACCUCUCUUAUAAAAGAGACAAGAUUGAGGCAAGAUAACAUUUAAUUUCCUAUCCUUGUUUGUAACUUCUUUGCAUUUUGUGACGCUAAUUAGAUGGAGAGCCAACAACCAGCGGAUUCAACUCAAGAACCUUCGUUUGCUGACUUACUGGAUGAGACAUUGCGAUUGUCACAACCUUCAAGACGACACAACCGAGAUGAAGACCCUCAAGAACGACAUGUUCUUCCUCGAAUAGAUGGUGAGAUACAACGCGUUUGGUAUCACGACCUUGGAAGAGAUUCUCGAUGUUUGGUGAUAUUAUUGGAGAUAAGAACGACUCCUGAUGGUGUUUCAAAUGUAUUAUUUGAAGGAAGUUAUGAAGGCCUCAACAGUGAUCAAAUAACAGGGUGGUCUUCUCGCCCUGGAAUGGGACACUAUCGAUGGCUAAGAGGACCCAUCAACUAUCUUCGAAGAGAACAAAGAUCAGAGUAUGUAGCAAAUAUAAUUCGUCGCAUAUUAGAUUUUCUCAAUAUAUAAUCACCGCUCCUCGUGGAACUCGUCCCUAGAAGGGGGGGUAAUGUCACGGACAUACAUAUAAUUACCUAUAUGAAUAGAUAAAAGUAUGUAAAAGUAGAUAAAAAUAGGUUAAUUGUGUAAUAUCUUCUAGAGAAGCUUCUUAGAAGCUUCAUAGAUGCUGCUUUGACUUUAUAGGAGUCUAUAGUUGACUUUUAGGUUAGAAACUUGGUCAACAAGUUAGCCAUGUGCCACACAUGUUGGAAGCUUAAAGAACAAGCUAACUACGUGGUCCAUCCAUAGAAAACUUGCCUUGCAAGCAAAGGCAUGUGGCCUAGAAAGUCAACAUAUAUUGGAGGUCUUAUAGAACAUCGCCACGUGGCUUCUAGUUAGAUAGUAUAUAUAGAGGCAAGAGUGAAGCCCUCUUCACUCUUGUCAACUCCUUUCUUGCUUCUAGUCUAGUUUCAAGGGUCUCUAGUUUUCUUGUAUUUUGGCAAUAGCCAUUCCAGUUUCUUUCUUAAUAUACAUAUUUCUAUUUUGCCCUAUUUCUUUUUGAGAAAAGUCUCACUUACUCUUUAGCUUUCAUCGAGUUCUUGUCCUUGACACCUAGUACGUAUUAAAGAAGGAGAUGAAUGGAAGAUUGAGUUUUAAACUAGAUAUGGCCAUUUUGAAUAUAAUGUCAUGCCUUUUAGACUCACAAAUGCACUAACUACUUUUCAACAUUUAAUGAAUAAUGUCUUUUGUGAAAUUUUUGAUGAUUUUAUUAUUUGCUGUUUAGACAACAUCCUAAUCUGUUUUAAGAACACAAAAGAGCAUAAAAUUCAUGUUUGUCAUGUAUUGUAAAAACCAAGAGAUGUAGGAUUAUAUACAAAGCUGAAAAAAUAUGUAUUUCACACUACUCAAGUUGACUUCUUAGGAUAUACCAUUUCAAAUAACGACCUUAUAAUGGAUCUUAAGAAAGUUUAGACUAGCUUGGAUUAGAAGAAUCUAAAAAUAAUCAAAGAUGUAUCAUGUUUUUUGAAAUUUACUAAUUGUUAUCAAAUCUUCAUCAAGAGCUUUUUUCAAGUUGCAACUUCCCUUGCAUAUCUGACUUAUAAAGAUAAGCUUCAGUGAGGCAAAGAAAUUGAAGAAUCUUUUAAAACCUUAAAAAUAACAUUUAUUACUACACCAAAUUUAUAUUGUAUUAACUUCUCUAAGGCAUUUUUUAUGGAAACAAAUGCAUCAAACUUUACUAUGGAUAUAAUUUUGUUACAAAUAGGAAUAGAACACAAACUCCAUUUAAUAGUUUUUUAUUUAAAGAAAUUUUUAGUAGCUAAGAUUAAUUAUGAAAUCUAUAACAAAGAGCUUCUUGCUAUUGUGGAUUCAUUUUAAGAAUGGCAUUAUUAUUCAAAAGGCACAUCAAGUCCAAUCACCAUAUAUACAAUGUCAUAUAGUAACAUGACUAUAUAGUAAAAAAAUAAAAAUAUGGAUGUUGUUAUAGAAGAUCCUAGUAGGAAGAUGUGGUAGAAAAAUAAGGAUAAAUGAUAGGAAUGUAACAAAAGAUUUAGUCUUAAUGCUGCUUUUUAAAGACCAAGCUUCUAUUUGCUUUAUAGGGGCAUAAAUGCCUUAAAUUAAAAUAAAUAAGAUAAGUAAUUAAUAUAGAUAUGUUUAGGAAAGAGUUGCCAAUAGGUUCAAGUAAAAAUUAUCUCAAAUUAUCAAAUAUUGAUAUCCGGAGAUGACUUGUUGUCAACCUAGGUCGAAAUCGGACCUUGAGGCACAGAAUUGCAUACCUAUAGUUAUUCCAGGGUUCUUUGGUAAAUUAAAGAGUGGGAUUUGAAAGCAAAAUAGUAAAGAGAUUUUUGAGCAUUGGUCUAAGGUCAAUCAAGUUAAUAUUCAAUUUUUGGAAGAUUUUCAAAGUUAAUAAUUUUCUUAGUUGGAUUAGAUUUUAAAAAAUAAAUUUAUGUUUAUAAAAUUGAAGAUUUCUUGAGUCUUGUGGUGUAUGCAUAGAUGAAUUUUGGACAAUGUAUUGAUGAUUUAGUUUUUAGUAUGUAUGCAAAUUUUGAAGUCAAUGAAAUAGUUAAAUCAAAGUGUGUGAAGGUUUUUGUGGAUCAAGGUCUCAAAAAUUGGAAUUUGAAGGUUGGUAAAUAUUUUUAAGAUCUUUAGCAAUCUAUUAAUUGGAUUGAAGUGAAUUAUUUUUAUGUAAAGACUAGACUUGAUUUUCCAUAGUUUAAGUAUAUUUUGGAGGCAAUUCAAUGGUUCAAGAAGGAAAUAUUGGCACUGGAAGUUCAACAAUUAGAUUGGAAUAGGAGGCCAAUCAAUAUCCAAGUAGAAUUUAGGGUUAAUCUUCUAUUUGGUAAUUUCGAUCUUCUUCAAAUUUUGUGUACUUGUUGCUAACUUAGUUUUUAAAAGGUGCAUAAAAUCUUAAGUAAGAUUAAUUAUAUAAUUGAUAGCUAUUGAGGUUCUAAACUGUCCUAAGAUUAAGUUAAUUUGAUUAGGAUUUGGUUUGGGAUUUAGAAAUUAGUAAGAGUUUGGGAUUUAUUUAGGAUUUAUUUAGGAUUUAAUUAGGAUUUGACUUAGGAUUUAAGUAGAAACUAUUAGGAUUUUAAUUAGGAUUAAAUUAGGAUUUGUUUGAAAUUUAUUUAAGAUAUAUUUUGAGAUUUAUUUUAAUACUUCCUUUGAAUUUCUUUAGGAUUUUUUCAUGUUUCUUUUGUAAUUUCUUUGAGAUUUUUUUAAAUUUAUUAAAGUUUAAUUAACAUUAUUAUGAUUUAAUUGGAAUUAUUUAAGAUUCUAUUAGGGUUGUCAAGAUCUUAUUAUUGUAAUUUCCCUUCUAUCUUCCACAGCCAUGUGCUCAAUACAUUCUCAAGGAAGGCUUCACAUAAUAUGACAACAAAUUAUAAGAAUCUUGAAUACUUUAUGUCAAUGCAUGUGUUAAAUUGUCACCAAGUUCGUUGAAGCAUGUCUUUAUUAAGAUUUCAUUUCAAGAUCAUUUAUUGAUUAGAAAAAUAAUAAGGUUUAUUAGAUACUCUUUUUAGACAUUUUUAUCUUGCAUCAAAAAAAAGAGAUGCAUCUUUUGAUGAACAAAGAAUGUUUUUCUUAAAGCUAGAUCAUUUUUUAUCUUUGAGCAAUGAAAUCAAUAUUGACUAUUGAUUCAAUUUUUUUCAAGCAACUUUAAUUGAGUAUGUCUUUUGAUCUUCUUGUUCAUGAUAUUAAAAAUAAUUCUUUCAAGUCUUAUGAUAAUUCUAAGUUUAGGUUUAAGAAUAAUCCACUCUAUUUUGAAGAACAAUUAUUCAUUUUAAAAGGCAAAGUACAAUUAUUUGUUCUUCAAGCUUCUCAUGACUUUUCAACAGCCAGACAUUUUGGAUACAAUAAGACUUUGGAGCUAAUAUCUAAAGAUUUUUGGUGGCCUCAAAUGUAGAAGGCAAUAAAAGACUUUAUACUAUCAUGCCAUAUUUUUUUAAGAUCCAAAACUCCUUAUCAUCAACUUUAUGGACUUCUUCACCCAUAACCUAUUCUGAAAUAAUCAUGGUCUUGUGUUUCUAUGGAUUUUAUCAUGAAUCUUUUAGUCUCAAGUUUAUAUGAUUCUAUAUUUUUGAUAGUAAAUCAUUUAUGAAGAUGGCAUGUUUUACACAAUAUACAAAAUCUAUCACAUAUAAAGAAACAUCUAAGCUUUUUUUUGAUAAUAUCCAUUACUAUUAUGGAUUUUUUAAGGAUAUUAUAUUAGAUAGGGAGAUUCAAUUUGUAUGUAGAUUUUAAAAAAUCCUUUUUAAGAUGUUAAUGAUGAAUAUAAAGUUCUCUUUGACUUUUUAUCUAUAAACUAAUGAACAAAUAAAAUAGGUGAAUUAAGUUUUGAAGUAAUAUAUGAGGUGUAUCAUCAACUAUCAUCAAGAUGAUAUCACGGACAUACUCAUGUAAGCUAGUAACUACAAUUAUAAAUAGGUUGAAGUAAGUAAAAGUAGAUAAAAAUAAAUUAAUUUUGUAGUAUUUAAUAUGGAAGCUUCCUAAAAGCUUUAUAGACGCUGCCUUGACUUCAUAGUUGUCUUUAAUUGACUUUUUGGAUUAAAAACGUGGUCAAAAGUUGGCCAUGUUCCACAUAUGUUGUUAGUUUGAAGAUCAAGCUAACUAUGUGGGCCACUCGUAGAAAAACUGCCUUGUAAGUCAAGGCAUGUAUCCUACAAAGUCAACACAUAUUAGAGGUCUUAUAGAACAUCGCCACAUAGCCCCUAGUUAGAUAGUAUAUAUAGAGAUAAGAGUGUAGCCUUCUUCACUCUUGUCAACUCCUUUCUUGCUUAUAAUGUAGUUUCAAGGGUCUCUAGUUUUCUUGCCUUUGGCAAUAGCCAUUCCAGUUUUUCUUUCAAUAUACAUACUUGUUUAUAUAUAUUGUAUUACCUUUCUUUGAGUGAAGGCUCACUUGUCUGAAUUACUUUUUCAUCGAGUUCUUAUCCUUGAUAGAUUGACAAUACUAUACCUACAAUAUCAGAGCUUUGUCUAAUCUUGAUUAAGAGUGGAUUAUUCUUUUUUCUACAUAAGAUAUAAUCAUAUUAGAAGUUACAGAUUACCCUCUUCUAAAGUGAUAUUGUCCUUAGUAUUUUCUUUGUUCUCAAGUCCUCUCUUUUAUUUUUCUUGAGCGAUAUUAGACAUCUUCUCUUUUCUAAGUGUUAUUAUGGCAGAACUUGUUGAAAUGAAGAGUGCAAUGGCACAAAUGUAAGAGCAAUUGAGGGAGUUUAUGCUUGCAAUGCAUCAACUUAAUUUACCACCACAAGGAGCAAGAAGAUUGGUAGGAAGUGAAGAUAUAGAAAUGGUUGGAGCUGCUUUAAUAUCUGUACCACACCAUGUCCUUUUUCUUAUAGUGGAACACCCUUCCAAUAUUAGAGAAUGAGGAAUUAUCCUACUUGAGAAGUUUGUUGGUACCAGAUCCAAGUUUUGAGGAUUUAUCAAUUAAAUGCAACUUGUAAUUGAACUUCAACCUCAAAGCUAUCAAACUCUAGGAUUGCAAGUUAGAUUCAUUGGUAUGCUUUUUUCAGGUUCAGUACUAUUGUGGUUUUCAUCUUUUCUUGAAUGACGAGAUCCAAUAUUGAAUAAUCUAGAGGCUUUUCUGGCGAAGUUUUGAUCCAUGUAUAGAUAACAUGAUGCAAUUCGUGUUGCAACCAAUAAGAUCCAUAUUUUACGACAAGAUAAUCGAUCAGUAACGUUGUACGCUUCAUAAUUUUGACAACUUGCAACUGAUAUCAAGUGGGAUGAUGCUGCACUUAUUAGCCAAUUUUUCUACAGAUUAUAAUAUGAGGUAAAAAAAUUAAUGCUCAACUUACAUGAUCCUCCAACAUUCAGUCAAGCAAUUGACUUUGCUAUGAAGUGCGACAAUCCUCUUUUUGAAUUUCGAUCUGAGAACCGUACAAGUGGACUUCAACGAAACUAUAAUUCAAUGGCAACACCAACACCUCUUCAACACAUACAUUCGAAAGUAGAGGAUAUGCAAAUUGAUGCAAUACGUUUCAAAUUUCUUAUUGAGCAAUAAAACACUCGUCGUCGUCAAGAAGGAUUAUAUUUAUAUUGUGGAGAACCAAAGCACAGUGCUCAAUAUCUUCCAAUGAAAUGACGCAAUUACAAAAUAAGGAGUAUGGUUGUGAAAGAAGACAAUAUGUCAAAAAACGAGUUUAUCCAGCUACAAUAGGGACCGUGCGGCUGGAACCUUAUACAACAUCUAGUAAAGGUCCUAUUCUCUCCUCAGAGCCCUCUCCUUUUUUUACAUUAAAUAUUAGUUUAGGACCUAAAUAUUACAAAGCCUCUACCUUGUUAGAUUCAAGAGCCUUGGCGUGUUUCUUAGAUGAAGAAUUUACUAAAAGACAUAGCAUAUCUUUAGUAAAGAAAACUAAACUUGUUCAUGUAGAAGUCAUAGAUGGUCGUCCAUUGUCUUCUGGAGAUAUUACUCACAAAAUCCUUCCUAUAGAAGUAAUAAUCAAUUGUCAUAAUAGCUUUGUAGUAUUUAAUAUCAUUAGAUCUCCCUCUAAUAUAAUCAUUUUAGGUUUAUCGUGGUCAAAAAAAUACAACCCUCAAAUAGAUUGGAUUUCUCGAAAUCUUACUUUCUCUAAAAGUAUAACUAACAAUGUGAUUAAUUAAGUAGAGAGUCAUAAGUCGAAUUCAAUUAAAUCCGUAUUUAUAGGUGCAAAAGCUUUCUUGCAUGCUGUUAUGAAAGAAUCACCAUAUAUUAUUUAUGCAACACCUAUUUCUACUCGUGAAAAGACUUCAAGUGGCAUUCCAAGCCAAUAUCAAGAAUUUUAAGAUGUAUUCGAAAAAAAGAAUGUGGAUACACUCCUAGAACAUUGUCCCUUUGAUUGUUCAAUUGACCUUCAAGAAAGAGUACAACCACCAUUCGGACCAAUCUACAGUUUAUUAUAAAAUGAGUUGACUGAACUCAAAGAGUAUACUGAAGAAAAUCUAGCCAAGAAUUUCAUACACCAUUUUAAAUCUCCAGUAGGAGCUCCAAUUCUAUUUGUGAAGAAAAAAGAUGGAUCAUUGUAGAUGUGUGUUGAUUAUCAAGGAUUCAACAAGAUUACCAUCAAGAACAGGUAUCCACUACCUUUAACAUUUGGACUUCUUGAUCAGCUAAAUGAAGCUAAGAUCUAUACAAAAAUAGAUCUCUAGAGAGCCUACAAUCUAGUACGCAUCUAAUAAGGAGAUGAAGGGAAGACUGCAUUUCGAACUAGGUAUGGAUAUUUUAAAUACAACAUUAUGCCUUUUGGACUUACAAAUUUACCAACAACUUUUCAACAUCUAAUGAAUGAUGUUUUUUGAGAGUUUUUGGACGAUUUUGUGGUUUGUUAUCUAGACGACAUCUUGAUCUAUUCUAAGAAUCCUGAAGAACAUGAACUUCAUGUUCGUCAUGAGUUACAAAAAUUAAGAGAUAUCGAAUUCUAUGCCAAGAUAGAAAAGUGUGUAUUCGACACUAUUCAAGUCGAUUUUUUACGUUACAUCAUUUCAAAUGAUGGACUUAUGAUGGAUCCUAAGAAAGUUUAAAAUAUUAUAGAUUGGAAGAUCCCAAAAACGGUAAGAGUUUAAUAGUGUGUUUUGAUUUGCUGCAUUGAGAGUGUUUGAAUAAUAGACAUAUUCUUUUUUGCAGUUGAGUGUUGUAUGAAUUUUGUUUUUUAUUUUAUUUUUUAUAUAUUAAUACUAAUAUGAAUAAAUAUUUGUGUAUAUAUUUGGUUAAAAACUUCAUAUGCCAUUUUAAAUCUCUAACUAAAGCUUCUAUCUUAUUUGUGAAGAAAAAAGACGGAUAUUUAUUUGUGAAGACGUUCUUAUCUUGUACCAAAAGAAAGAGAUGCAGCUUUUGAGCAACAAAGAACAGUCUUCUUCAAACCAGAGCAAUUUCAUCUUCGAGGAAUAAAAUUAACCUUGACUGUUGAUUUAACUUUUCUUAAGCAAGUCUUGUUAAAUACGUCUUCAGACCCUCUUGUUCAUGAUAUCAAGAAUAAUUCUUCUAAAUCUUAUGAUCCCUCUAAAUUUGAAUACAAGAACAACCUACUUUAUUUUGAAGGAUGCCUAUAUGUUCCAAAUGGAGAAGCAUGUUUACGCAUUCUUCAAGCUCGUCACGACUUUUCCGCAACAGGACAUUUUGGAUAUAAUAAGACUUUGGAGCUGAUAUCUAGGGAUUUUUGGUGGCCUCAAAUAUGGAAGGUAGUCAAAGAUUUUGUACAAUCAUGUCAUGUUUGCUCAAGAUCAAAAACUCUUCAUUAUCGGUCUUUUGGUUUUCUUCAGCCAUUACCCAUUGCAGAACAACCAUGGUCUUCUGUUUCUAUGGACUUCAUCAUAGAUCUUUCAAUCUCAGGUUCUUAUGACUCUAUAUUCGUGAUAGUAGAUUGUUUUACUAAGAUGGCAUAUUUUGUACCAUGUACAAAAUCUAUCAUAGGUAAAGAAACAGCUAAGCUCUUUCUUGACAAUAUCUAUCGCUAUCAUGGAUUACCCAAGGAUAUUAUAUCAGAUAGAGAAACUCAAUUUGUAUCAAGAUUUUGGCGGACUCUUUUCAAGAUUCUUAAAAUAGAUAUAAAACUAUCUUCGGCAUUCCAUCCUCAAACUAAUAGACAAACAGAGCGUGUUACUGAAGUUUUGGAGUAAUAUUUAAGAUGUACCAUUAACUACAAACAAGAUGAUUGGACAACUCUUUUGCCAUUGGCAGAGUUUGCUUACAAUAACACGGUACAUUCUUCUACAAAACAAACACCUUUCUUUGCUAAUUAUGGUUAUCAUCCAUGACUUGAUACUUUUGACUUUUCAAAAGUUGAUAAUCUUAUUGCGAAAGAUUUGGCGAUUCAUUUAUCAGAGUUACAUGUAAUGAUGAAAGCGCAAUUAAAAGAGGCUCAAGAAUAACAAAAGGUCAAUGUGGAUGUCUAUCGAAAGGAACAACUACCAUUCCUCUUAGGUGAUAAGGUAUGGCUACUUUGUCACAAUAUUAAGACCACUCGUCAUUGUGAUAAGUUGGACUAUUGAAGGCUUGGACUAUUUUCUAUUUUUACACAAAUCAAUCUAGUUGCAUAUCGUUUACAUCUAUCGGAGUCAAUGAAAAUCCAUCCAAUAUUCAUCAUGUCUCUUCUUGAACCAUACAAGACAGUGGACAUACUAAGAAGACGACAAGUUCUACCUCCUCCUAUAGAAAUAGACAAUAAUAAAGUAUUUGAAGUAAAAGAAGUCUUAGAUUUAAUUCUGUGCUGAAAUAAAUUGGAAUAUCUUGUCCAUUGGUACGAAUAUGAUAUUAGUGAAUGCACAUGGGAGCCAAUAAAGAAUCUUGCAAAUACAACAAAGGUUGUGGAGGCUUUUCGUCGACGACAUCCAUCAAAAUCAAGAUGAAAAACUUCUUUAUAAAAGAAACAACAUCUAGGUAAGAUAACAUUCUACUUUCAAUCCUUGUUCGUAGCUUCUUUGUAGUUGUGACGCUCAGGAGAUGGAGAACCAAUAACGAGCGGAUUCAACUCAAGAGCCUUCAUUUACUGACCUGUUGGACGAGAUAUUAAGAUUGUCACAACCUUCUAGAUGAUGUAAUCGAGAUGAAGAUCUUCAAGAAUGACAUGUUCUUUCUCGAAUAGAUGGUGAGAUACAACGCAUUUGGUAUCACGAUUUGGGAAGGAACACUAGAUAUUUGGUGAUGUUGCUAGAAGUAAGAACAAUUCCUAAUGGUGUUCCAAAUGUUCUAUUUGAAGGAUGUUAUGAAAGUCUGAACAAUGAUCAAAUAAUUGGAUGGUCUUCCUACCCUAGUAUGAGACACUACUGAUGGUUGAGAGGCCCUAUCAAUCAUCUUUGAAGAGAACAAAGAUCAGAGUAUGUGGCGAAUAUAAUUUGUCGUAUUAUAGAUUUCUUCAAUAUAUGAUGACUGCUCCUCGUGGAACUCGUCCCUAGAAGGGAGGAUAAUGUCACGGUGUCAUGAUGUAAUACAAUUAAUAGGUGAAAGAGUGUGAAGAUUAUUAUAAUUUAGGAGAUCUUAGUUCAAAGUAUUAGAACAAAUUAUCUUAGAAAUAUAGUUAAUAGUCAAAGGGGUAGAAAAAUUAAAGGGUACCAAUGCUACUUUUUAGAAAUGUGACUUCUACUUACUUUGUAGUACCAUAAGUAAGGCAAAUAAAAGUAGAUUGGAAAAAUAAAUGAUAUAAGCAUCUUUAGAAGAAAGUUAAGAGUAAAUUCAAGAAAAAAUUUACUUAGAAAAACUAGUUAUUGAUACUUGGAGAGGGCCGGUUAUGAACUAGGGUCGAAAUCAGACCCUAGGGCACAAAACUGAGUCUCGACGACGAUUCUAGGGUUCUUUUGGAGAUCGAAAAGUGAAGUUUGAUAGCAGACUAAAUGGAUUUUCUAUAAACAUUGAUUUUGGGUGAUUUGGAGUUGAUAUGACUUUGUAAGAGCUUUGCAAAGUGGAGGUUUGUUUCGGAUGACUUGAGUUUUAUGAAAUAAAAUAGGGUUUAUGUUUUGAGUGAUUUCGAGUGUUUUGUUGCAGAUCUAUUGGUGAUAUUUUUUUUGGUGAUGUUUAUAGUUGUGUUAAAUACAUGUUGUAAAUUUGAGCUCGAUCUAACGGUUAGAGUGAGAGAUAUUGAGGUUUAAGCGGCUUAAGGUCUUAAAAAGUAGAAUUUUAGGUCUAGUGAGGGUUUUUAAAAUUUCAUACAAUCUACUAGUUGGAUUGGAGUAAAACUUAUGUGGGAGGAUAUAAGACUUGUUUUUCUAUGUCCUUGAGAAAUUUGAAACCAAUCGAAUGGCGCAAAGAAGAGAAAAUGGCUCUAGAAGGUUGGCAUCAAGAUUGGAGAAGGAGGCCGGCUAAUACCCGAAUUCAUUUUUGAGGUUUUUGUCAAUUUGGUAACUUUAAUCCUUUUCAAUUUUUUUUGUGCUUGUUUAAAACUUGAUUUUUAAGAAGUAUGCAAAUUUUGAAUUGAGAUCAAUGGUUUAUUCAUUAGAUAUUGAGGUUUAAAUCUAUCAUAGGAAUUACUAGGAUUUGAAUUAGGGUUUGGCUAGGGUUCGAUUUUGGAUUAGGAUUUAGAGUUUGGUUAGGAUUUGAUUUAGGGUUUGGAUUAGGGUUUGUUUAGGGUUUGAUUUAAGGUUUGGUUUAAGAUUUAGGGUUUAGAUUAGGAUUUGAUUUAAGGUUUGGUUUAGGGUUUAGGGUUUAGAUUAGGGUUUAGGAUUGGAUUAGAGUUUGGAUUAGGAUUUAGGGUUUGGUUUAGGAUUUGGUUUAGGAUUUAGGGUUUGAAAUAGGAUUUGAUUUAGGGUUUAAUUUAAGGUUUUUUUAGGAUUUGACUUAGGAUUUAGGAUUUAUUAGGGUUUAAGAUUUAAUUAGGUUUGGUCUAAAGUUUGAGUGAAAUUCAAUAGGGUUUUAACUAGAAUUAAAUUAAGGUUGAAUUGACAUAUAUUUGAGUAAUAUUUGUGAUCAUUCUAAUAUUUCUUUAAGAAUUUUAUUGUUUGUUUGAAUUUUCUUUGAGUUGUUUUGAAUUUGAUUACGUUUGUUUAUCAUUACUAUAGUCUAAUUAGAGCAUUGUUAGUAUUCUAUUAGAAUUAGGAUUUUGUUAUCGCAAUUUCUAUUCUUCCUUCUACAGCCAGGUAUCCAGAGCAUUCUCAAGUAAGACUUCACACAUUACGACAAAGGACAUAUUCAUUUAAGCUAGUAACUACAUACAUAAAUAAGAGGAAGUAAGUAAAAGUAGGUAAAAGUAAGUUAAUUCUAUAGUAUUUAAUAUGAAAGCUUUCUAAAAGCUUUAUAGAUGCUACUUUGACUUCAUAGGUAUCUUUAAUUGACUUUUUGGAUUAGAAACGUGGUCAACAAGUUGGCCAUGUGCCACAUGGGCCAUAUUGUUAGCUUGAAGAUCAAGCUAACUAUAUGGCCCACACGUAGAAAAACUUGCCUUGUAAGUCAAGGCAUGUAUCCUACAAAGUCAACACAUAUUGGAGGUCCUAUAGAACAUCGCCACGUAGCCCUUAGUUAGAUAGUAUAUAUAGAGACAAGAGUGAAGCCUUCUUCACUCUUGUCAACUCCUUUCUUGCUUAUAAUCUAGUUUCAAGGGUCUCUAGUUUUCUUGUCUUUUGGCAAUAGCCAUUUCAGUUUUUCUUUCAAUAUACAUACUUGUUUAUUUAUAUUUCGUUACCUUUCUUUGAGUGAAGGCUCAUUUGUCUGAAUUACUUUUUCAUCGAGUUCUUGUCCUUGACAGACGAUUGCACAAUUCUUUUGUUGUUGAUAGAUUUUACAUAUAAUAAUUUAGUACAUUCUUCUAUUCAAUAAAAAUCUUUCUUUGCCAAUUAUGAUUAUCAUCUACAACUUGAUAAGUUUGACUUUUUAAAACUUGAUAAUUUUAUAAUAAAAGAUUUGAUAAAUUAUUUGCCAAAGCUACAUACAACAAUGAAGGUAUAGUUUAAAAAAACUCAAGAAUAAUAAAAGAUCAAUGUGGAUGCCUAUUGUAAGGAACAACCAUAAUUCAAUGUAGGUAAUAAGGUAUGUUUACUUUGUUGUAAUAUCAAGACUACUUAUCUUUGUAAUAAGUUGGACUAUAAUAGGCUUAGACCUUUUCCUAUUUUUGAAGAAGUUAAUUUUAUUGCUUAUCAAUUACAUCUACUAAAGUCUAUAAAGAUUUAAUCUAUAUUCUACAAGUUUUUUCUUGAGCCAUAUAAGAUAGUGAAUAUUUUUUACAAAUAUAUAUUUAUUGUGAUUGUUACUUAGAUGAUAUAAAUAGAUAGAAGUAGGUAAAAAUAGAUUAUUUUUAUAAUAUCUUUUAGAAAAGCUUUUUUAAAGCUUUAUAGAUGCUGCUUUGAUUUUAUAUAUAUUUAUAGUUAAUUGAUAGGUUAGAAACUAAGUCAAGAAGUUAACUAUGUCACAUAUAUGUUGAUAGCUUGCAGAAUAAGCUAAUUAUGUGGUGCCCAUAUAAAAAACUUCUUUUGCAAGUUAAAAUAAGUAUUGUGUAAAGUCAACAUAUUUUGGAGGUCUUAUAGAAUGUCGCCAUGUAGCUCUUAGGUAGAUAAUAGAUUUAGAGGCAAGAGUGAAGUCUUCUUCAUUCUUAUCACUCUUUUCUUGCUUCAAGUCUAGUUUUAAGAAUCUAUAUAUUUUUAUUCUGUUAGCCAUAGUCAUUUUAGUUUUUUUUAAUAUACAUAAUUUUUUAUUUUUAUUUUUUUAUACUUAGAAAAAGUUCCUUUUAUUUAUUUAUUUUCAUCAAGUUCUUAUAUUUGAUAGAUUAAUAAGAGUACGCUUACAAUAUUAGAUUUUUUUUUUUUUUUUUUUUUUUUUUUUUUUUGGAUUAAAAAUGGAUUAUUUUUUUUUAAUAAGAUAUAAGUAUAUUAGAAGUUGUAGAUUACCUUCUUCUAAAUUGAUAUUAUUUUGAAUAUUUUCUUAGUUUUUAAGUAUUUUAUUUUAUUUUAUUUUUCUUCAAGAUAAAUUAGAAUUGCUUCAAUAUCUACAUUAAAUCAUGUCUUUUCUCUUAUAGUGGAAUACCAUUCAAACACUAGAAAACUAAGAAUUGUCUUAUCUAAGAAAUUUGAUGGUACAAGAUCAAAGUUUCAAAGAUUCAUUAAUCAUGUACAAUUGACAAUUGAACUUCAAUUCCAAAGCUAUCCAAUUCUAAGAUUACUAGUCAAGUUUAUUGGAACAUUACUUUUUGGUUCUAUAUUAUCAUAGAUUCCAUCUUUUUUUGAAUAAUAUGAUUUAAUAUUAAAUAAUUUGAAAGCUUUUUUGGAAGAGUUUCAAUCUAUGUAUAAAAAAUAUGAUGUAGAUUAUAUUGUAACAAAUAAGAUCCAUAUUUUUUGACAAAAAAAUUAAUUUGUAACAUUGUAUGCUUCACAAUUUUGACAACUUACAAUUGAUAUUAAAUGAAAUGAUUUUAUACUCAUUAGCUAAUUUUUUUAUAGAUUAUAGUAUGAGGUAAAGAAAUUGAUGCUCAAUUUAUUUGAUUCUCAAACAUUGAGUUAAGCAAUUGAUUUUGCGGUAAAGUGUGACAAUGAAUUUUUUGAAUUUUGAUCCAAGAAUCUUAUAAGUAAGCCUUAACAUUAUUAUAAUUCAAUAGCAACACCAAUGUCUUCUCAAUGCAUACUUUCAAAAGUAAAAAAUAUGCAAAUUAAUACAAUACGUUUCAAAUCGCUUAUUGAGCAAGAAAAAACUCAUUGUUAUAAAAAAAAUUAUGUUUAUAUUAUGGAAAAUCAAAGCACACUAUUAAACAUUGUCCAAAGAAGUAAUAAAAUCAUAAAAUAAAAAGUACAACCAUCAAAGAAGAUAAUAUGUUAGAAAACAAGUUUGUCUAGUUAUAAUAGUGAACGUGUCAUUGAAACCUUGUACAAUACUUAAUGAAGGUCAUGUUCUUUCCAUAGAAACCUGUCCUUGUUUUAGAAUAGAUGUUAGUUAAGGACCUAAAUAUCACAAAGCCUUUGCUUUAUUAGAUUUAGAAGCAUCAAUUUUUUUUUUUUUGAUGAAGAGUUUGUUAAAAGACAUAACUUACUUUUAAUAAAAAAAACAAAAUCUAUUCAUAUAGAAGUCAUGGAUGGUCAUCUGUUGUCCUUUAGAGAUGUUAUUCAUGAAACAUUUGUUCUAGAAGUAGUAACUAAUGGUCACAGUAGUUUUGUGGUAUUUAAUAUCAUUUAAUCUCUUUUUAAUCUAAUUAUUUAAGAUUUAUUGUGAUUAUAAAAAUAUAAUCCUCAAAUAGAUUGAAUUUCUUGUAUUUUUAAUAUUAUUUAAAAGAAAAAUUAAAAAUGUAGUUAAUCAAGUUUAAAAUUAUAUGUUUAGUAUCAUCAAAUCUAUAUUUGUAGGUACAAAAGUUUUCUUGUAUGUUGCAAAAGAAAGAUCACCUAGUGUCAUUUAUGCUAUAUCUAUUUCUAAUGGUGAAAAGACUUUAAAUAGAAAGUUUUGUUGUAUGUAGCUUUGACAAAUAAUUUAUCAAAUCUUUUAUUGAAAAAUUCUCAAGUUUUGAAAAGUCAAACUUAUCAAGUUGUAGAUGAUAAUCAAAAUUGGCAAAGAAAAAUAUUUAUUGAAUAGAAGAAUGUACUAAAUUAUUAUAUGCAAAAUCUAUCAAAAACAAAAGAAUUAAGGAAUCCUCUUGAUGAUAGUUGAUGAUACACCUCAUAUAUUACUUCAAAACUUAAUUCAUCUAUUUUAUUUGUUCAUUAGUUUAUAGAUAAAAAGUCAAAGAGAACUUUAUAUCCAUCAUUAACAUCUUAAAAAGGAUUUUUUAAAAUCUACAUACAAAUUGAAUCUCCCUAUCUAAUAUAAUAUCCUUAAAAAAUCCAUAAUAGUAAUGGAUAUUAUCAAAAAAAAGCUUAGAUGUUUCUUUAUAUGUGAUAGAUUUUGUAUAUUGUGUAAAACAUGCCAUCUUCAUAAAUGAUUUACUAUCAAAAAUAUAGAAUCAUAUAAACUUGAGACUAAAAGAUUCAUGAUAAAAUCCAUAGAAACACAAGACCAUGAUUAUUUCAGAAUAGGUUAUGGGUGAAGAAGUCCAUAAAGUUGAUGAUAAGGAGUUUUGGAUCUUAAAAAAAUAUGGCAUGAUAGUAUAAAGUCUUUUAUUGCCUUCUACAUUUGAGGCCACCAAAAAUCUUUAGAUAUUAGCUCCAAAGUCUUAUUGUAUCCAAAAUGUCUGGCUGUUGAAAAGUCAUGAGAAGCUUGAAGAACAAAUAAUUGUACUUUGCCUUUUAAAAUGAAUAAUUGUUCUUCAAAAUAGAGUGGAUUAUUCUUAAACCUAAACUUAGAAUUAUCAUAAGACUUGAAAGAAUUAUUUUUAAUAUCAUGAACAAGAAGAUCAAAAGACAUACUCAAUUAAAGUUGCUUGAAAAAAAUUGAAUCAAUAGUCAAUAUUGAUUUCAUUGCUCAAAGAUAAAAAAUGAUCUAGCUUUAAGAAAAACAUUCUUUGUUCAUCAAAAGAUGCAUCUCUUUUUUUUGAUGCAAGAUAAAAAUGUCUAAAAAGAGUAUCUAAUAAACCUUAUUAUUUUUCUAAUCAAUAAAUGAUCUUGAAAUGAAAUCUUAAUAAAGACAUGCUUCAACGAACUUGGUGACAAUUUAACACAUGCAUUGACAUAAAGUAUUCAAGAUUCUUAUAAUUUGUUGUCAUAUUAUGUGAAGCCUUCCUUGAGAAUGUAUUGAGCACAUGGCUGUGGAAGAUAGAAGGGAAAUUACAAUAAUAAGAUCUUGACAACCCUAAUAGAAUCUUAAAUAAUUCCAAUUAAAUCAUAAUAAUGUUAAUUAAACUUUAAUAAAUUUAAAAAAAUCUCAAAGAAAUUACAAAAGAAACAUGAAAAAAUCCUAAAGAAAUUCAAAGGAAGUAUUAAAAUAAAUCUCAAAAUAUAUCUUAAAUAAAUUUCAAACAAAUCCUAAUUUAAUCCUAAUUAAAAUCCUAAUAGUUUCUACUUAAAUCCUAAGUCAAAUCCUAAUUAAAUCCUAAAUAAGUCCUAAAUAAAUCCCAAACUCUUACUAAUUUCUAAAUCCCAAACCAAAUCCUAAUCAAAUUAACUUAAUCUUAGGACAGUUUAGAACCUCAAUAGCUAUCAAUUAUAUAAUUAAUCUUACUUAAGAUUUUAUGCACCUUUUAAAAACUAAGUUAGCAACAAGUACACAAAAUUUGAAGAAGAUCGAAAUUACCAAAUAGAAGAUUAACCCUAAAUUCUACUUGGAUAUUGAUUGGCCUCCUAUUCCAAUCUAAUUGUUGAACUUCCAGUGCCAAUAUUUCCUUCUUGAACCAUUGAAUUGCCUCCAAAAUAUACUUAAACUAUGGAAAAUCAAGUCUAGUCUUUACAUAAAAAUAAUUCACUUCAAUCCAAUUAAUAGAUUGCUAAAGAUCUUAAAAAUAUUUACCAACCUUCAAAUUCCAAUUUUUGAGACCUUGAUCCACAAAAACCUUCACACACUUUGAUUUAACUAUUUCAUUGACUUCAAAAUUUGCAUACAUACUAAAAACUAAAUCAUCAAUACAUUGUCCAAAAUUCAUCUAUGCAUACACCACAAGACUCAAGAAAUCUUCAAUUUUAUAAACAUAAAUUUAUUUUUUAAAAUCUAAUCCAACUAAGAAAAUUAUUAACUUUGAAAAUCUUCCAAAAAUUGAAUAUUAACUUGAUUGACCUUAGACCAAUGCUCAAAAAUCUCUUUACUAUUUUGCUUUCAAAUCCCACUCUUUAAUUUACCAAAGAACCCUGGAAUAACUAUAGGUAUGCAAUUCUGUGCCUCAAGGUCCGAUUUCGACCUAGGUUGACAACAAGUCAUCUCCGGAUAUCAAUAUUUGAUAAUUUGAGAUAAUUUUUACUUGAACCUAUUGGCAACUCUUUCCUAAACAUAUCUAUAUUAAUUACUUAUCUUAUUUAUUUUAAUUUAAGGCAUUUAUGCCCCUAUAAAGCAAAUAGAAGCUUGGUCUUUAAAAAGCAGCAUUAAGACUAAAUCUUUUGUUACAUUCCUAUCAUUUAUCCUUAUUUUUCUACCACAUCUUCCUACUAGGAUCUUCUAUAACAACAUCCAUAUUUUUAUUUUUUUACUAUAUAGUCAUGUUACUAUAUGACAUUGUAUAUAUGGUGAUUGGACUUGAUGUGCCUUUUGAAUAAUAAUGCCAUUCUUAAAAUGAAUCCACAAUAGCAAGAAGCUCUUUGUUAUAGAUUUCAUAAUUAAUCUUAGCUACUAAAAAUUUCUUUAAAUAAAAAACUAUUAAAUGGAGUUUGUGUUCUAUUCCUAUUUGUAACAAAAUUAUAUCCAUAGUAAAGUUUGAUGCAUUUGUUUCCAUAAAAAAUGCCUUAGAGAAGUUAAUACAAUAUAAAUUUGGUGUAGUAAUAAAUGUUAUUUUUAAGGUUUUAAAAGAUUCUUCAAUUUCUUUGCCUCACUGAAGCUUAUCUUUAUAAGUCAGAUAUGCAAGGGAAGUUGCAACUUGAAAAAAGCUCUUGAUGAAGAUUUGAUAACAAUUAGUAAAUUUCAAAAAACAUGAUACAUCUUUGAUUAUUUUUAGAUUCUUCUAAUCCAAGCUAGUCUAAACUUUCUUAAGAUCCAUUAUAAGGUCGUUAUUUGAAAUGGUAUAUCCUAAGAAGUCAACUUGAGUAGUGUGAAAUACAUAUUUUUUCAGCUUUGUAUAUAAUCCUACAUCUCUUGGUUUUUACAAUACAUGACAAACAUGAAUUUUAUGCUCUUUUGUGUUCUUAAAACAGAUUAGGAUGUUGUCUAAACAGCAAAUAAUAAAAUCAUCAAAAAUUUCACAAAAGACAUUAUUCAUUAAAUGUUGAAAAGUAGUUAGUGCAUUUGUGAGUCUAAAAGGCAUGACAUUAUAUUCAAAAUGGCCAUAUCUAGUUUAAAACUCAAUCUUCCAUUCAUCUCCUUCUUUAAUACGUACUAGGUGUCAAGGACAAGAACUCGAUGAAAGCUAAAGAGUAAGUGAGACUUUUCUCAAAAAGAAAUAGGGCAAAAUAGAAAUAUGUAUAUUAAGAAAGAAACUGGAAUGGCUAUUGCCAAAAUACAAGAAAACUAGAGACCCUUGAAACUAGACUAGAAGCAAGAAAGGAGUUGACAAGAGUGAAGAGGGCUUCACUCUUGCCUCUAUAUAUACUAUCUAACUAGAAGCCACGUGGCGAUGUUCUAUAAGACCUCCAAUAUAUGUUGACUUUCUAGGCCACAUGCCUUUGCUUGCAAGGCAAGUUUUCUAUGGAUGGACCACGUAGUUAGCUUGUUCUUUAAGCUUCCAACAUGUGUGGCACAUGGCUAACUUGUUGACCAAGUUUCUAACCUAAAAGUCAACUAUAGACUCCUAUAAAGUCAAAGCAGCAUCUAUGAAGCUUCUAAGAAGCUUCUCUAGAAGAUAUUACACAAUUAACCUACUUUUAUCUACUUUUACAUACUUUUAUCUAUUCAUAUAGGUAAUUAUAUGUAUGUCCGUGACAUUAGGUUUUAUGCUCUUCAUAGAUCUAUUUUUGUAAAUAUUUUCUUCAUUGGAUUGAUCAUGAAGUCUUGAAAUUAAAGGUAGAAGAUACCUAUUUUUGAUGGUGAUCUUAUUGAAUCUUCAAUAGUCCACAUACAUCCAUAGAUAUCCAUCUUUUUUCUUCACAAAUAAAUAUCCGUCUUUUUUCUUCACAAUUAUAGAAGCUUUAGUUGGAGAUUUAAAAUGGCAUAUGAAGUUUUUAACCAAAUACAUACACAAAUAUUUAUUCAUAUUAGUAUUAAUAUAUAAAAAAUAAAAUAAAAAACAAAAUUCAUACAACACUCAACUGCAAAAAAGAAUACGUCUACUAUUCAAACACUCUCAAUGCAGCAAAUCAAAACACACUAUUAAACUCACAUCACUACACAUUUCAUUUCACACACCCACCACGCUGCUAAGACACAACUCAAUUCGACUCAACUCCGUUUCCCAUUCACUGCAUUGUCUUUCAAACAUCCGCGCACCCUCACGCCGCACGAUGGCCGUCCCCUCCGAGGCCCUGAAAUCCAACCAUUCAUGAAGCAAAGCUGAAACCCCAUUCACACGACGAUCGCCGCACUGACACCACCACUGCAUGCACAUCCGCACUUCACACAAACCAUGUUUCUCAAAAUCAUCAUCUCCAAUUACUCACACUCGUCGUCAUCUCAACAAUACACUGUACAUCCUUCCAUGGUCCUUCAAAACCGAUCCUCCUCGCCUCCCACAUACCUAUCCCUGAGCUCUCUCUCUCUCAUCCUAGCUCCAAACUGUACACUCAAUUCCACAACUUCGGCACCGUAUCAUACACACGCAGCCACCCCACGGCGAUGCAAUUCACUGCCUUUGUUCUCUCCACGCCUACCGACAUAUGUGCAUCCAUUUAGUGGAACACGGGAGCUCCGCGGAUCAGCUCCGUGACCACUAGCGACAGGAAUCCUAGCAUUGCUAGACGCCCGUUCCAUCGCUCAGCUCGCGCCGUGAACGGCCCGAAGCUGCGAGCAUCCGUCGACUCGCCGUUCAUGAUCGGCACCAGCGAUGCGUACGUGAAUAACUGCACCGCGCCCACGAAAUACACAAGCCCGCUUGUGGUGGGGUUGAAUAGCUGCUGUGCUACUGUCAGCCCCGUCGCCUUCUCCGCGAAGAACGCCCACACCAUGCCCAACAUCGCCAGUCGGCAGUUGAUGGUCUCCGGGGCGGCCCCGUCGAACGCGAACACGCUGAAGAAGGACUUGUCGCUGGUCUCGGGCCGCCUCUCGAUCUCCGGGCGGGGGGUGAACCCCACUGCCUGGUCGAACCCGGGAGUGGGCUUGGCGCCGAAGUAGGAACGCUGCUCGGACUCGUUGGUCUCCAUGUUCUUCAGGAUCUCGCCCUCCGUGAUUUCCUUCUUCGUGCUCUCAUCGAUGGUCUCCCGCAGGCCCUUGCCCGCCUCGCAUCGAACUCGCCCCGCCAGCGACGCGCCCAGUCUGGGUCGGGCCACCACACGGGAAGCAGCGCUGGACAGCUUCGUGGAGGAUGGAGUCAGGGCCAUGAGACCGCCGGCCAUGGGAGCAGCAGCAGACAUCUGAGACAUCGUGGCGGCCAUUGUCCUGUUCUACUGGCAAAUACGAGAUGUAAUCAAUCGGCUUCCGAAAUCGCGCGAAGACUGAAGAUAAUGCGAGAUACAGCAGAGGCAGGCCACUGAACUGCGAAGUAUGAAUGGUUGUCGAUCUGAUUAGUUCUCCACCUGCUGGAAGGUUGAUGAAUGUUGCGCUUCUGACAACUGGAGGCGGAGCGCCUGAGUUUAUAUGCAAGUGCCAGUGGGAGAAUCUGAGGAAGCCCUGGUAGGGUUGCCGCAGAUGAUCAUGCGGAGGGAGCGGCCAGUUGCAAGCUGCAGCGCGCGACAGGGCAGGAUGGAGAUGGGGGGGCGCAAGUAGAUGGCAUGUGGCGAUGCAUCGAAAACAUCCGCAAAAGUGAGGGCGUUGGGCGAGGAAUACAUCCACGUCCGCGGAUAUGUGGAGUAAAGCGCAUCUUGGCGAGUGCCUCUGGAUGGUAGAGAGCCAGGGCAGACGCCAGGAGGAAGCACAGCAUCGAUGCCGACGUGGUGCAUCAGACUGCACUCCCUCCACAUUUCGGUCGUUUUGGAGGCACCACGGAGGCAUUCUAGCACCGCCUGUUCCUCGCGUCUGGAUUGGCCGCAAGAGUGUGCCUCCAACAGGCGCACAUAGGCUGGCUGCGGAGCUCAUGUGCUUUUGCUUUCCCCUCGAGUGACGAGAUCUUUUGUCCCCUUCCGCAUCGACGGGCUCACUGGGUUUAUGGAUUGCGUUUCAGGGCAUGAAGCGUCGAUUGAAGUUGCGAUCGGUGGGUUCACGUCGGCCUGUGGACUCCGGAGUUAAGUUGGAAUUGUGAUAACUUGGAGAAUUUGUUGUUUGUCUAGUUACAGCUGCACCCCUGUGUACUGUUUACCACACGUGUGACAAGGAAGCCUGAGGACAAGGACAGUGAAGGACUUCAUCGGACAGUCUCAACUCGGAGGGUUUUGUUGGUGUUAACGAUGGUCUGAUCACCUCAAUAGACAUCGUUGUAUGUAUAUUUUUAGGACUACAUUUAUACUAUACGGCUGUUGUAUAUGUGUCCAAGUGUUGGAAUAAUAAAGUCAUUAUAGUUUGAGAAGAAUGUAAGUAUUGUUUUUAUUAUCCUAUGAACAUGGUAUUAGAGCAUAGUUUUGAAACUUAGUUGCAUCUUAUGUUGCUUAUCCUUUCUAUGCUUCUAUGUAUGCAAAAACUAUGAAAUGCAACCAAAUUGUUAGCU
rnacentral:lncRNA from 1 species